rnacentral:misc_RNA from 1 species
GAUGAAGAACGCAGCGAAAUGCGAUAAGUAAUGUGAAUUGCAGAAUUCAGUGAAUCAUCGAAUCUUUGAACGCACAUUGCGCCCGCUAGUAUUCUGGCGGGCAUGCCUGUCCGAGCGUCAUCUCAACCCUCAAGCCCCCGGGCUUGGUGUUGGGGAUCGGCGAGCCUCCGCGCCCGCCGUCCCCUAAAUCUAGUGGCGGUCUCGCUGUAGCUUCCUCUGCGUAGUAGCACACCUCGCACUGGGAAACAGCGCGGCCACGCCGUUAAACCCCCAACUUCUGAACGUUUGACCUCGGAUCAGGUAGGAAUACCCGCUGAACUUAAGCAUAUCAAUAAGCGGAGGA